rnacentral:lncRNA from 1 species
CCUCUGGUUGCACAGUGGAAUCACCUGGGGAGCUUUAAAAAUGACAGAUGCCAGGGUCCUGACCCCAGAAAUUCUGAUGUAAUUGGUCAGGGUCGUGGCCUGGGUAUCAGGAUUUUUUAAGGCUCCCAGGUGAUUCUAAUGUGCAGCCAGGGUUGAGACCCACUGCUAGAGCCACCCACGUUUGCCAGGGAUUAUUUCUGCAUACAGCUGAGGAAGCAACAUUCAGUUCUUGUUCUCUGUUCUGAGCUGUCAGGAAAUGGCCUGCUAGGGUCAGGCUGGAAUCAAACCUCUGUCUUAAACUCCAGAGUCAACUCAGUCUGCUAAGUUAGUUUGGGAAGCCAUCAAUUACCUGCUGUUUUACCCUCCGGUGUGGGUCCCUGGGCAGCGGGGCAUCAACCUCAGCUGUGCUGGCAGGGCUGCUUUUCAAUGGAGCCUGCUGUCACUGCUGCUGCCGCCGCCGCUGCUGCUGCUGCUGCUAUUUUUCUAGAAGCCAAAGCAGAUCCUCACAUCAGAGCUUCAGCUCCCUGCUGCCUGUCAGUCACAGCUGCAUGACUGAGACUGAGGGACCAGAUGCCUGGCUGCCCGCCACUGGAGCUGGGUAGCAGAUUUGCUGAGGUGUCUUUGGGGCCAGGCCAGCCUUCCAGUUCACUGUGAAGGCUGGAGAUGAAUUUCUCUGGGCAGCCAAAUGCAGUUCGAAAUGAACGUGAUCAAUCAAGGGAAUGAAAGCCUUGGUCAAGUGGCCCCAGCAUGACAGAGAAGGCCAGCACCAGCCUCUGCCUUUCUCCUACGCUUGAGAAAUUGGGAGAAGGUACUUGUGUGUGCCAUUUUGCUGAGGUCAAACACUGCCCAGUGAUUAUGGGGGAAACGGUGGUGUAGAGAAAGACAAGGAAGAAAAUGGAAAACUCUUAUUUCAGGCAGGCCUACUAGGUGUCAGGCAUUGUAUGGGCACAUUAAAUGCAUAACCUCAUUGAAUCUGAGUGAUAGAACCACAAGAAUUAGACACGGUUAUCUCCAUUUUACAGAUAAAGAAGCUGAGCCGUAGAGAGGAAGCCUCCUUGUGAGGUCACAUCACUAGCAAAGGACAAAAGCAGAAUUCAUGCUUUCACCUGCUGGCCUGCAUAGCACUUGUUUUUUGCAUACCACCCUGCUUCUCAAAUUGGGAAGGGACAUUUUUGAUCCAGGUAGCUAGUUUUUUUGUGUGAGUUUCUUUGCCUCUCAUUAGGGUUGUUGCCAUCAGGGCCCAUCCUUGGCUCAAUAGUGCAAUACUGAAGGUUGCUUUUGUCAUGGUCCAACUUCUUCAUUGAAUUAAUUUAGGCAAUGUUAGCUGCUAUAACAGACAAACCCCCAAUUCUGAGGGGCCUAACACAAUAGACAUUUAUUUCUUGCUCACAUAAAGUCCAGCUGGCCGUGUGAGAAUGAAGGUUUUGCUCCAUGCAGUCAUGCAGAGAUCCAGGUCCCUUCUGUCUGAGGCUCUACCCUCCCCUAGAGCUUCAGUGUCAUCCACUAGGUCUUCUGCCUCAGAAAGGCAGGUGGGGGAAGGAAGCAUGGAGGAUCCUGUAGGAGGUUCCACAGCCCAGGUGAGGACACAGUACACCUUACUUCUGUCCACAUUCCAUUAGCCAGAACUCAGUCACAUGUCAAUGCCUAAGCCAAGGCAGGAUGGGGAAUACAUCUAGCUGUGUGCCACCCAAUAACCAGCACCCACGUCUUGGUUGGGGGGGCUGCCCUAGGCUGCCAGAAUCUGCUUGGUCCUUGGGUACAGACAGCUGGGAUAGCCCAUUGACAAAAUGGCUGAUGGGUACAGGGUGUAAACUCCCCCUUGUCCCCUGAUGGAGACACUAUCUCCAGAGCACUGCUGUGGGAUUAAGUCAAAGGUUUAUCUCCAUGGGGUCUUCCCUGAUGCACCCUUGCUUGGCCUCCUUCCCUUCUCAGUGCUACUUCUACAAUCCUCAACUGGCUUUUAAUACAGAUUUACCCACACCAGAGGGUAAAGCAGCAGGUAAUUGAUGGCUUCCGAAGCUAACUAAGCAGACUGAGUUGACUCUGGAGUGUUACACAGAGAUUUGAUUCCAGCCUGACCCUAGUGGGCCAUUUCCUGACAGCUCAGAGCAGAGAACAAGGACUGAAUGUUGCUUCCUCAGCAGUAUGCAGAAGAGAAGGAAAUAGAUUUCAGUGAACGUAGAGUAGUUCUGUUUACAACCACGUAUGCCCCUGAAGUCUCUUCAUUCUUGAGGCCUUACCUUCUUGAUCUUACCCACACCCUCUCCAGAAACCCAUCCUACACUUCAUUUCAGUGCUCCUCUAAUUGAUAAUUACCUUCUACCAAAUUUCUGCCCUUCGUGCAUAGGUCAGGGCAGGAACACCAAGGGUACCCAGUCAUGGCUCUGCUGAAGGUCUCUAUGGGGCCACCUCACACCCAAGUGGCACUUUGGCUAAAGACCAUGGGCCUCUCACAAGACCUCUGGCCCACCUUCUGCUGGCCCUUCAGAGGCAGGAGUCAAUAAUGGGGAGGCUGCCGGCCCUUGGCUUAUCUCUUCGUUUGACUAAUGAUGAUGAAUGUCAGUGUGUGACUCCGAAAUCCCUGACUGCUUUUCCUGCAGUGUCUCCUCCUCGGUGUGUUUUCUUUCUUCCUUAGCUCUGCUGGCUUCAGACCCCAGGGAAAUGAUGAGUUUCACAGUGAUGGACGGUAGGGAUUUUUCACAGCUGCUAAUUCUGAAAUCCCAAGUCAGCAGGAUCUGUGCUACCAAGACACAUGAUUUAGAGGCACUCCAUUAAGACUGAAAGUGUUCCCUUAGAAUUUCCAUAACCCUCUGUGAUCAAGGACGCUUAUACCUUUAAAUUUCCUUCAGAACAAAUAUGGCAAGGAAGGGCCCAGUUGAUGUCAAAUGAGCAUUCUUUUGCUAGCUCCCUUUCCCAGGUGAAAGUGCUCCCAAAUCCUUUCUCAUUGGAACGCGAGGAGGAGUGGUCAGGACUCAAACCUGUGUGCCUUUUCCAUGACACUUUUCAGAAACACGAGGGCCAGCCCAAGCAAAGUUUAUCUGUGAUGCUACUUUCAGUAGCUUCCAGGAGACCUAUUUGCAUUUUAGUGGGGACGACCUUGGUCUAGAAAACAUAGAGGGGCUCAUUACCUUGCCAAGAAUAGAGAGAAACAGGGCAGUUGCUGAGGGGAGGCAGGCCUUGUGGCUUAUGGCUGAACUGGGAGGCAAGCUGGCCCAGAUGCCUGUCAUCAGAUGGUGUAUGCAAAGGUCUGAGGCUCUUAAGCAAACUUCUCUUUUCUGCUCCCCUCCAAUCAAUCACUUGAACAAAAAAUCCCUAUCUCAGGCUCUGCUGCUGGGAAACAUAACCUGAGACCUACUUAGGGUUAGAUUAAUGCCAGCUGUUUCAGUUUUCGCUUGCUGCCUUAACCUGCUACACUAGGCCUGCGAAUUUGGGAAAUAAGUAGAGAGAAACCUAAAGUCAAGGGGUGUCCUACCUACAGCUUAUAUGACUGAAAAAAUAUCAGGAGUUGGGGGAGAAGUUGCCCUGGAUCUCGGCCAAGAGUGUGUCUGCUGUCAGUGUCUGGUCUCAACUCUACAGGCCUAAUCCUCCAGAAUGAAGGAGGAACAGACAUUUGGAACUCCAUUAAGGGGUUACCUGCCAAGUGGGGGUUGCGAGGGCACAGGUGUAGGAGGAUGGAAUGUGGGUAUGGGGAUUGUUCUUUGGAGAUGAAACUGUUAACUAAAAGUAGUAAACCCCCAAAGUAGAUGUAGCCACAGAGGAAGGCCAUGGUUUAUGUUUUUGGUAAAUAGAGGAGACAUCUAAGUGGAAUAAAUAAGCAAGGCCAAAAACCCAAGAACAUUUUUUUAAUGUAAUAUUCUGAAAUGCACUCAUGGCCUCACUUUGCACAGUAACACACUUACCUCCGGGGCUUUGUCUGACCAUGUAACCUUGUUCAUUUAUGUGGUAGGGAGCUUUUCUGCCCAGCUAAUCUUUCAUUCUUCCAGUCUCCUGGUUUGAACUGCUCCAUUCUGUCAAACCAAAACUGUAAAAAGAAGAAAAGCAUAGAAUAAAAAGCUGAGCUGAGAUGCUUUUCCUUUCUUUGCUGACUGUGAAUUAUUGUGGUUGAAUGAUAACUCCCUCUGGGAUAGAUGGUAAAUGAUGAAUGGGAGCUGCAGUGCUAGACUGACAUCUUCUGGAAGGGAGUUGGUUGCCAAGGCCAUUAGGAAGUCCCUGUGGGUCCCUAGACCCCUUGUCUUUAACUUUGCUACGCUAUGGGCAUAAAGACAUCUCACCACAGACAGGGGCUCUUGAAGUCUUUGGAUAGGCCAGGCGCGGUGGCUCACGCCUGUAAUCCCAGCACUUUCGGAGGCCAAGGCGGGUGGAUCAUGAUGUCAGGAGAUCAAGAUCAUCCUGGCCAACAUGGUGAAACCCUGUCUCUACUAAAAAUACAAAAAUUAGCCAGGUGUGGUGGCGUCGGAGGCAGGAGAAUUGCUUGAACCUGGGAGGUGGAGGUUGCAUUGAGCUGAGAUCAUGCCAGCCUGGCAACAGAGCGAGACUCGGUCUCAAAAAAAAAAAAAAAAGUAUUUGGAUAAUCCUGGUAGGUUAAUUUCCAUAAAGUUUAGUGCACAGUUGGCUCCCCUGUUCAGUCUUUUCUUGACUUGGUUUGCAUACACCAAAUCCAACCCUAAGAGAUGACUCCACUCACAUACUAAUGAAACAACAUCACAUUAUGGAGUGAAAAAACAGACCAGCUUUUUAAUCUUAGUUUCAUCACUUACUAGCUCUGUGAUCUUUGUCUGGCAGGACUGUAUUUUCCAAAGGUGGCUGCAGUAGUAGCUUCUAUCUUACAUGUUCUUCUAGAACUUUGCCUUCCUCCAUCAAAAGGUGGAAUCUAAUGCCCCUCCCUUUGGAGCUGGCUGGGUGGAUUUGUGACUAUUUCCACAAAUAGAAUGUGGUGGGAAGUGAUGUUGCAUGACUUCAGAGGUUAGCUUCUAAAAGGAUCAUACAACUUCUACUAGAUUCUUUUGAGACACUCACUCUUAGAACUCAGUCACCAUGCUAUGAGAAAGCCUAAGCAGCCUGUGGAGUGGCCUAAGUGGAGAGAAACCAAGGACACUGACCCACGAUCCUGACUCAGCUCCUAACUGACAGCUGACACCAGCUUACCAACCAUAUAAGUGAACCAUCUUGAAAGUAGAUCUUCCACAGCCCAGUUGAGCUGCCCCAAAUGAUACCACUGAAAACAGAGAUGAUCCAUCCCUGCUGAGUCCUUCCUGAAUUGGAUAUUUGAGGGCAUACAUAAAUUAUUAUUAUUUUUAACAAUAAACUUUAAUAAUGAGUUUUGGGGUGGUUUGUUGCACAGUAAUAAUAGGUAACUGCAACAUUUGGGACCCAAGAGUCCCACAUUUCAGAAUACAUUUUAUAGAUAUAACAUCAUCAGUAGAUCUAUAAGGAUGUCUUUGUGCUAUGGCUGUAAGGGGAAAAAAACCCUUGAAGCAACCAGAACACCAGGCCAUUAGAAAUGAUUGCACAAAUUGUAUAUCCUGUUUGUACCUUAGACUGUGCAGUUAUUGCAAAGAAUCAGUUAGCUCUAUAUUAAUUGCCUUAGAGAGAUGGCUAUGAUGUAUUGUUAAGGUAGAAAAACACGUUGCAGAGUAAUUUAUAACAUGAUCCAACUUUUGUAAAAAUGAACAGCAAUUAACUCCCUCUGUACAUGUGUAUAUAUGUUUGUAGGAGUAUGGAGAAUUUCAUAGAAAGACACAUACCCUGAUGAUAACAUUAGAUACAUCAGCAAUAUAUGGGAGUGGGGCAGGCAGGAAUCAUGGUCGCAGUGGUGAUACUGAGGAGGGUCUUAGGGUAAAAAUAUUAAAUUUAUACAUCUUUGGAUUGUUUCACUUGGUACAAUGACCAUGUCUUGUUUUUGAAAUAAAGAAAGUGCAGGAAAGGAAAAGAAACUUUCCUACUAAGUUUAAGAAAGAAAGGAAUAAAGGGCAUGGAACUUGGAAACUGACAGAUCUAGAUUUGAAUCCCAGAUCUGCUAUAUACUAAGCGAUCUUGAGCAAGCUACCUGACCUCCCUGGGCUUCUGUUUCCUCACCUGGAAAAAGGAAAAAUAACAAUGCCUACUUUGCAGUGUAAUUGUGAGGAUUAAAGGAGAACAUCAUUUUGUGUGAUUACCCUCAAAAUAAGCCUUAGUUCCGCAUAUCCAGUCUCGGUUGAUGUUCCACCUGAAAAACAUAGUCCAACAGACAAAAAAGAAAGAAAUUAGCACUUCAGGCUUUGGUUCUCUCUCUCUCUCUCUCACACACACACACACACGCACACACACAUGCACACACAGAAAUGCCAAAAGAAAAUUGUGGGGGCAAGUAAAAUGUUACAACACUUCGUCAAAAUCCUUUCGCCUACCACUUUUCCUGUCAGUAACCUCCACACAGAUGAUAGUGAUGAUGAUGAUGCUAAUGAUGAUGAUUCAUUAAUCCUUGACUGUGUGCCAGAAACUUUGUGUUUUACAUGUAUUAUCACAUCUCAAUGUCAAAAAUAGGUAAGCAGCAGAGUGCCAGGAUUGUUACCCAGGCAGUCUGGCUGCAAAACCAGCCUUCUUAACCAUGCUGUCUCUUGCUGGCACCCUCAAAUUCACUUUCUCUACCUCUCAAAUCCCCAAUAUUUCAAUCAGAAAUAUUUUGAAAUAUAUCUCUUUUCUCCCACUCAGUUCUUCCUUGCCUAAAAGUAUACUGUCUUCAUUCCAGGCUGGACAUAGUACCUGGACUUCUCUUCAUGAUCAUGGACCAUGUAGGGCUGCCCUAGACUAGAAGCCCUGGAGACUUCUGGCCCUGCUCCUCCCUCACCCCCCUAGGGGGAAGCAUAAGGAGUCUUUAACAUGGUCCUUCUCUCACUGUGACCUCUAAGGGAAAUUAUCGUGGACAAAUAGGUGAACAACAUUUUCUGUCUCAGGCUAUGGUAGGUUGCAAGGAUGGUCACAAAUUCUUCCCUUCCCUGUAUCCACACUCUUGCAAUGUUUGUGGAGCUGGUCUGGCCAUGUGACUUGAUUCAGUCAAUGGGACAAUAGCAAUCAUGACAUAAGGAGACUCAAAAAGUGCCUGCAUAAUGGGGCUUGCUACUACAGGACCCUUCCACUAUGUGACCAAGCCUGGGCUAGCCUGCUGGAGAAUGCAAGACCACAUGGAAGAGAACCAAGGAGCCUCAGCUGACUAGCAGCUGACUGGUGAUGCACAGCAGGCCCAGCAAUCUGCUGAGCCUGGCCUAGCUCAGGAACAGUGCACAGCUGAAUCCAAUUCAAAUUGCCAUCUAUAGACUCAUGUGCUCAAUAGUGGUUGAUCCAUAGUUAGCUUUAUGUAAAGCAUUCAGGACAUACAAAUAGGUACUCAAUAAACAUGAGUUUUCUUUUUCCCCUUUCCCUUGCUCCAUAAUCACUCUUUCUCUUAAACUGAUAAAGGUAAGGCCAUUCAAGUAAAACUACACAGUUAGCCAAUUCAAGUAGGGCCUGUGACUUUUUGUUCACAUGGGUAUUUUCUUGGCCAGCACAAGUCGUGCUUGAACUGACUGCCUCUUUCUGUCUGUAGCUGAGCAUAUUUUCCCAAAAAUGGCCAUAAUAUUUCCAGUUUCACAUGCUCUUCCAGAAUCUUGCUAUUCCCCUAUCAACAGGAGGAGUCUAUGUUGUUUCCCCCUGAAUAUCGGGUGGGACUUUGCAACAGCCUCAAGGAAUAGAAUACAGUGUUAUUUAUGAUUAGUAAUAAUAGACUUCAAAGGCUAGGUCAUAAAAGGCAAUACAUCUUCUACCUAGUGUGCUCUAUCUGUCUAUCUAUCUAUCUAUCUAUCUAUCUAUCUAUCUAUCUAUCUAUCUAUCAUCUAUCUAUCUAUCUUAGGACAGGCUCCAUUGGAGUCCUGAGCUGCCCAUGUAAGAAGUCUGGCUACCGUGUGGCUGACAUGUUGGAGAAGCCACAUGGAGAGACCUCAUAGAAGUAGAGAGAGAUGCCUGCGGAGCCCCAGUUUUUCAGCCCAGGCACUGGAAAUUUGACCGAAUAAGGUUGCAAGAUGAACAGCCACAGCACCACUCUAACUGCAACCACCUCUUCUGGAGCAACAGCUGGCCCCAGCCCCGAUGCCUGUGAUAACCCAAGGAAGAAGUCAUCAAAUAAACUGACAAACAGCACUCAUCAGCUUGAGAAUUGAAUACCUAAGUAUGAAUUCUAACCUGCUACUUGCCAAUUGUGUGACCGUAGCAUGUUAAUUGGUGUUAUGGAGCCUCAAUUUCUUCUUUUUUACUAAAGGAGGAGGAAGAGGAAGAGGAGGAGGAGAAGGAGAAGAAGAAGAAAAGAAGCACCUGCUGUUCUUCUGCCAUUAAGAUUAUGCAAUAAGAUGAAGGCCUACUGCCUUGGGAGGAGGAGGUAGAUACAGCGUAGGACAAAAUAGUCAUUGCGCAGUUUUAAAUUUCAACUAGAUUUUUUAAAAACCCUUACUGGGGCAAUAGUCUUGAAAGCCAGACUAAAAAAAGAAAUAAAGGAGUUUUCCUAGGACUCCCAAAGUUGGGCCCCUGUAUAAUAGAAACCAAAGCUUAGAUGGUUACUAUGGUCUGAAUGUUUGUGUCUCCCCAAAAUUCAUUAUGUUGAAACCUAAUCCCUAAUAUGAUGGUAUUAAGAGGCGGGGCCUUUGGGAGAUGAUUUGUUCAUGAGGGGAGAGCUCUCAUGAAUGGGAUUAGUGCUCUUAUAAAAGAGGCCCCAGAGAGCUGCCUUGCUCCUUCCAUCAUGUGAGGACACAUCAAGAAAAUGCCAUCUUUCAACCAGGAAGUGGACCCUCAUAAGACACAAAAUCUGCUGGUAUUUUGGUCUUGGACUUUUUCAGCCUCCAGAAAUGUGAGAAAUAAAUGUUCAUUGUUUAUAAGUGA